CCCCUAGAUGUUCUGGGCCGCACGCGCGCUACACUGAACAGUUCAACAAGUCUUAACCUUGGCCGAUAGGUCUGGGUAAUCUUUGAACGCUGUUCGUGAUUGGGAUAGACCUUUGCAAUUAUGGGUCUUCAACGAGGAAUUCCUAGUAAACGCAAGUCAUCAGCUUGCAUUGAUUACGUCCCUGCCCUUUGUACACACCGCCCGUCGCACCUACCGAUUGAAUGGUCCGGUGAAAUCUCGGGACGGCGGCUUGGUCGCUUGCGUCCGACUGCUGAAACUUGAUUAAACCAUAUCAUUUAGAGUAAGGUGAAGUCGUAACA
rnacentral:rRNA from 1 species